AGUGAACGCUGGCGGCGUGCCUAAUACAUGCAAGUCGAACGAAGUGGCGCACGGGUGAGUAAUAUAUAUCUAAUCAGCCCUACACAGGGGAACAACAAUUGGAAACAACUGUUAAUACCUCCUAGUGCAGGAUGAGACUAUAACGUAUCAGCUAGUUGGUAAGGGAAUGGCUUACCAAGGGGAUGACGCGUAACAGGUGUGAGAGGAUGAUCAGUAAAAUUGGAACUGAGACACGGUCCAGAAUCCUACGGGAGGGAGCAGUAAGGAAUAUUACGCAAUGGGGGAGACCCAGAAGCAGCAUCGCCGCGUGGAGGAUGACACUUGUCGAAGCGUAAACUCCUUUUAUCAGGAAAGCGGUACCUGAUGAAUAAGCACCGGCUAACUCCGUGCCAGCAGCCGCGGUAAUUC
rnacentral:rRNA from 1 species